rnacentral:tRNA from 1 species
GGAGCGGUAGUUCAGUUGGUUAGAAUACCGGCCUGUCACGCCNGGGGGUCGCGGGUUCGANGUCCCGUCCGCUCCGCCA